AGUCACUGACAUUAGAUACCCCGGUAGUCCCAGCCGUAAACUAUGCGCGUUAGGUGUAUCGGUGACCACGAGUUACCGAGGUGCCGAAGGGAAACCGUGAAACGUGCCGCCUGGGAAGUACGGUCGCAAGGCUGAAACUUAAAGGAAUUGGCGGGGGAGCACCACAACAGGUGGAGCCUGCGGUUUAAUUGGACUCAACGCCGGACAACUCACCGGGACGACAGCAAUAUGUAGGCCAGGCUGAAGACCUUGCCUGAAUCGCUG
rnacentral:rRNA from 1 species